rnacentral:rRNA from 1 species
GAUUCUGGCUCAGGAUGAACGCUAGCUACAGGCUUAACACAUGCAAGUCGAGGGGCAGCAUGAGAUUAGCUUGCUAAUCUUGAUGGCGACCGGCGCACGGGUGCGUAACACGUAUCCAAUCUACCCAUGGCUCGGGGAUAGCCUUUCGAAAGAAAGAUUAAUACCCGAUGGUCUGCGAUUGAGACAUCUCGAUUGCAGUAAAGACUUGUCGGCGAUGGAUGGGGAUGCGUCCGAUUAGCUAGUUGGCGGGUAACGGCCCACCAAGGCGACGAUCGGUAGGGUUCUGAGAGGAAGGUCCCCCACACUGGAACUGAGACACGGUCCAGACUCCUACGGGAGGCAGCAGUGAGGAAUAUUGGUCAAUGGUCGGGAGACUGAACCAGCCAAGUAGCCGUGAGGGACGACGGCCCUACGGGUUGUAAACCUCUUUUGUAUGGGAAUAAAGUGAGGCACGUGUGCCUUUUUGUAUGUACCUUACGAAUAAGCAUCGGCUAAUUCCGUGCCAGCCGCUGC